GAGGGUAUAGCUCAGAGGUAGAGCAUCUGACUGCAAAACAGAACUUGGUGAUGCUCUUC
rnacentral:tRNA from 1 species